GCGGAUGUGGCGGAAUUGGUAGACGCACUGGAUUUAGGUUCCAGCGGGGUGACCCGUGGGGGUUCGAGUCCCUUCAUCCGCA
rnacentral:tRNA from 2 species